rnacentral:misc_RNA from 1 species
UCUCCGUAGGUGAACCUGCGGAGGGAUCAUUACAGAGUUCAUGCCCUACCGGGUAGAUCUCCCACCCUAUGUUAUUAUUACUUUGCUGCUUUGGCGGGCCGUUAGGCUCCGGCCCGACUACCGGCCCCGGCUGGUAAGCGCCCGCCAGAGGACCCAAAACCCUGAAUAUUAGUGUCGUCUGAGUACUAUAUAAUAGUUAAAACUCUCAACAACGGAUCUCUUGGUUCUG